AUAUAAAUCACCUAGGGAUCUUGCUAGAAUACAGAUUCCAAUUCAAAGGGUUCUGGGUAGGACCUGAGAAUCUGCAUUUCUUGCAAGCUACCAGGGGAUGCCAAG
rnacentral:pre_miRNA from 1 species